AUACAUGCAAGUCGAGCGGACCGACGGGAGCUUGCUCCCUUAGGUCAGCGGCGGACGGGUGAGUAACACGUGGGUAACCUGCCUGUAAGACUGGGAUAACUCCGGGAAACCGGGGCUAAUACCGGAUGCUUGAUUGAACCGCAUGGUUCAAUCAUAAAAGGCGGCUUCGGCUGCCGUUUACAGAUGGACCCGCGGCGCAUUAGCUAGUUGGUGAGGUAACGGCUCACCAAGGCGACGAUGCGUAGCCGACCUGAGAGGGUGAUCGGCCACACUGGGACUGAGACACGGCCCAGACUCCUACGGGAGGCAGCAGUAGGGAAUCUUCCGCAAUGGACGAGAGUCUGACGGAGCAACGCCGCGUGAGUGAUGAAGGUUUUCGGAUCGUACAGCUCUGUUGUUAGGGAAGAACAAGUACCGUUCGAAUAGGGCGGUACCUUGACGGUACCUAACCAGAGAGCCACGGCUAACUACGUGCCAGCAGCCGCGGUAAUA
rnacentral:rRNA from 1 species